rnacentral:rRNA from 1 species
UACGUAGGGGGCUAGCGUUGUCCGGAAUCAUUGGGCGUAAAGCGCACGUAGGCGGCUUCGCAAGUCGGAUGUGAAAUACCUAGGCUCAACCAAGGACGUGCAUCCGAAACUGCGAGGCUUGAGUACAGAAGAGGAUCGCGGAAUUCCCGGUGUAGAGGUGAAAUUCGUAGAUAUCGGGAGGAACACCAGUGGCGAAGGCGGCGAUCUGGGCUGAUACUGACGCUGAGGUGCGAAAGCGUGGGGAGCAAACAGG